rnacentral:rRNA from 1 species
UUUGACCUCGAAUCAGGUAGGGAU